rnacentral:rRNA from 1 species
AGAGUUUGAUCCUGGCUCAGGAUGAACGCUAGCGACAGGCUUAACACAUGCAAGUCGAGGGGCAGCAUGAUUUGUAGCAAUACAGAUUGAUGGCGACCGGCGCACGGGUGAGUAACGCGUAUGCAACUUACCUAUCAGAGGGGGAUAGCCCGGCGAAAGUCGGAUUAAUACCCCAUAAAACAGGGGUCCCGCAUGGGAAUAUUUGUUAAAGAUUCAUCGCUGAUAGAUAGGCAUGCGUUCCAUUAGGCAGUUGGCGGGGUAACGGCCCACCAAACCGACGAUGGAUAGGGGUUCUGAGAGGAAGGUCCCCCACAUUGGUACUGAGACACGGACCAAACUCCUACGGGAGGCAGCAGUGAGGAAUAUUGGUCAAUGGCCGAGAGGCUGAACCAGCCAAGUCGCGUGAAGGAAGAAGGAUCUAUGGUUUGUAAACUUCUUUUAUAGGGGAAUAAAGUGGAGGACGUGUCCUUUUUUGUAUGUACCCUAUGAAUAAGCAUCGGCUAACUCCGUGCCAGCAGCCGCGGUAAUACGGAGGAUGCGAGCGUUAUCCGGAUUUAUUGGGUUUAAAGGGUGCGUAGGUGGUGAUUUAAGUCAGCGGUGAAAGUUUGUGGCUCAACCAUAAAAUUGCCGUUGAAACUGGGUUACUUGAGUGUGUUUGAGGUAGGCGGAAUGCGUGGUGUAGCGGUGAAAUGCAUAGAUAUCACGCAGAACUCCGAUUGCGAAGGCAGCUUACUAAACCAUAACUGACACUGAAGCACGAAAGCGUGGGGAUCAAACAGGAUUAGAUACCCUGGUAGUCCACGCAGUAAACGAUGAUUACUAGGAGUUUGCGAUACAAUGUAAGCUCUACAGCGAAAGCGUUAAGUAAUCCACCUGGGGAGUACGCCGGCAACGGUGAAACUCAAAGGAAUUGACGGGGGCCCGCACAAGCGGAGGAACAUGUGGUUUAAUUCGAUGAUACGCGAGGAACCUUACCCGGGCUUAAAUUGCAGACGAAUUACGAGGAAACUUGUAAGCCGCAAGGCGUCUGUGAAGGUGCUGCAUGGUUGUCGUCAGCUCGUGCCGUGAGGUGUCGGCUUAAGUGCCAUAACGAGCGCAACCCUUAUCACUAGUUACUAACAGGUGAAGCUGAGGACUCUGGUGAGACUGCCAGCGUAAGCUGUGAGGAAGGUGGGGAUGACGUCAAAUCAGCACGGCCCUUACAUCCGGGGCGACACACGUGUUACAAUGGCAUGGACAAAGGGCAGCUACCUGGCGACAGGAUGCUAAUCUCCAAACCAUGUCUCAGUUCGGAUCGGAGUCUGCAACUCGACUCCGUGAAGCUGGAUUCGCUAGUAAUCGCGCAUCAGCCAUGGCGCGGUGAAUACGUUCCCGGGCCUUGUACACACCGCCCGUCAAGCCAUG